GACGAACGCUGGCGGCGUGCUUAACACAUGCAAGUCGAACGGAAAGGCCCUGCUUUUUUGGGGUGCUCGCGUGGCGAACGGGUGAGUAACCCGUGCGUAACCUGCCCUUGACUUUGUGAUAACUUCAGGAAACUGGGGCUAAUACCUGCUAGGUGCUCCUGCUGCAUGGUGGGGGUUGGAAAGUUUCGGCGGUUGUGGCUGGACUGGGGGCUUAUCAGCUUGUUGGUGGGGUAGUGGCUUACCAAGGCUUUGACGGGUAGCCGGCCUGGGAGGGUGAGCGGAGACAUUGGGACUGAGAUAAGGCGCAGACUAGUAGGGGAGGCAACAGAGGGGAAUGUGGCACAGUGGGGCGGAGACUGAGGAAGAGAAGCAGCGUGCGGGAUGAAGGGAAUCGGGUUGGAAAGCGCAUUAGCCUGUGACGAAGCGGUAGUGACGGUAAUGGGUAAAGAAGCACCGGCUAACUACGUG
rnacentral:rRNA from 1 species